UACGUAGGGUGCGAGCGUUAAUCGGAAUUACUGGGCGUAAAGCGUGCGCAGGCGGUUUUGUAAGCCAGAUGUGAAAUCCCCGGGCUUAACCUGGGAAUGGCAUUUGGGACUGCAAGGCUUGAGUGCGGCAGAGGAGACUGGAAUUCCUGGUGUAGCAGUGAAAUGCGUAGAUAUCAGGAGGAAUACCGGUGGCGAAGGCGGCAUC
rnacentral:rRNA from 1 species